rnacentral:rRNA from 1 species
UACGGAGGGUGCAAGCGUUGUUCGGAAUUAUUGGGCGUAAAGGGCAGGUAGGUGGUCUGGUAAGUCUACUGUGAAAUCCCCGGGCUUAACUCGGGAAGUGCGGUGGAUACUGCCAGACUAGAGUGCUGGAGGGGUGCGUGGAAUUCCCGGUGUAGCGGUGAAAUGCGUAGAUAUUGGGAGGAACACCAGUGGCGAAGGCGGUCCCCUGGGCCGGAACUGACGCUGAUGCGCGAAAGCGUGGGUAGCAAACGGG